GAAGAGGGGAGGAGGAUUUUUUAUUUCCCGUUUCUUCGGACCCUUCAACAUUUCUUCGAAAAUCUCAAAUCAAAUCCGACGGCCAAACAAAUCUGCGCCACCGUUAUCAACUUCAUUGACAUCAUCUACAACAUCGACGGUUUGAUACUUUCGAAAGAAGAGGGAAGGGAAAUCUUUGAUUUCCCGUUUCUUCGGACCUUUCAACAUUUCUUCAAAAAUGUCAAAUCAAAUUCGAUGGCCGAACAGAUCCACGCCACCGUAAUUAACUUCGUCGACGUCAUCUGCAACAUCGCAAGAAGAGAGAAG
rnacentral:lncRNA from 1 species